UACGGAGGGUGCAAGCGUUAUCCGGAUUCACUGGGUUUAAAGGGUGCGUAGGCGGGUAGGUAAGUCAGCGGUGAAAUCCCCGAGCUUAACUUGGGAACUGCCGUUGAUACUAUUUAUCUUGAAUGUUGUGGAGGUUAGCGGAAUAUGUCAUGUAGCGGUGAAAUGCUUAGAUAUGACAUAGAACACCCAUUGCGAAGGCAGCUUACUACACAGUUAUUGACGCUGAGGCACGAAAGCGUGGGGAUCAAACAGG
rnacentral:rRNA from 1 species